AUUGAACGCUGGCGGCAGGCCUAACACAUGCAAGUCGAGCGAGCGGCGGACGGGUGAGUAAUGUCUGGGAAACUGCCUGAUGGAGGGGGAUAACUACUGGAAACGGUAGCUAAUACCGCAUAACAUCAGAUGUGCCCAGAUGGGAUGAGCUAGUAGGUGGGGUAACGGCUCACCUAGGCGACUAUCCCUAGCUGUUCUGGUAGGAUGACCAGCCACACUGGAACUGAGACACGGUCCAGACUCCGACGUGAGGCAGCAGUGGGGAAUAUUGCACAAUGGGCGCAAGCCUGAUGCAGCCAUGCCUGGUGUGUGAAGAAGGCCUUCGGGUUGUAAAGCAAUUUCAGCGGGGAUGCGUUACCCGCAGAAGAAGCACCGGCUAACUCCGUGCCAGCAGCCGCGGUAAUUC
rnacentral:rRNA from 1 species